UAAGAGAGAGAGUUCACUUUACUCUCCUCCUUCUCACUCACGCCUCCCUCUCGUCUCUCUCUCCUCUCACGGUACACACCUCCCUCUCACUCUUACACUCUUCAAUCUCUCAUCAACAACAAAAACCCAUAAAGACCUUCAUCCAUUCUGCCUCUUAUUUGUAGUCUAGACUUUGGAAGUUGUGUGGUUUGGCUCGAACGAGGUGUAUUUUGUCAGUUGUAAACUCGGAGAACUUUGGGCUUGCUUGAUCUUGGAGUUUGAGCUUUUGAUAUUUGAGUCUGCAAAAAACGCUGUUGUGAGCGUUGGGGGAUCGAUCCCCAUGCAUGGGGGUAUCGAUCCCCAAGCUGUCUGAUCCUUCUUUUGCCGUCGGGGGAUCCAUCCCAAUGAGGAGGGGUAUCGAUCCCCUUGCUCUCUGGACUAACUUGAACCAUUUUGACCUCAUCUCGGUUACUUUGACUCACGAUCAGUUCUAACAUAUUUCCAACACCUCCAAACCAUUGCAUAACAUCGUUAAUCACGUGCCAAUGACUCAUUGGUCUUCUUACCCCUUUGGGCUCAUUUGAAUAGGCUAUGGACUUUCUUAAAAUGUGAAUUAUCGUUAUACUUUGACUAUAUGCUUAAUUGUUAUUUUGAGGCAAUGUGGUAAUCAUGGUUAUAAGUUAGGUAGAUUGGUGGUCGUGGUGCUAGAUUGGUGAAUGAUUUGAUGUAUUGAUGUGCGAGGAAAAUGACUUGAUGUUGAUAUUACCUGAUAGAUGAGAAUAAUGGACAGAUUUACUACAUUUACAUAUUGUCCUUUGUGUCUUUCUUACGGUAACUGUGGAUGUGAGAUUGUAUAUGUGUGUUCGACCUAUAAGUUGGUUUAUUGUCGUGCUUUAUUGUGACAUGAAAUUAGAGAUGUGUCUAUUGAUGAAGUUGUAUGACUACUGUGAUUCGAGUGGCUGUAGUUGAGAAUUAGAAUGAGGAAGAGACUGCAACGCAAGGGGUGGAAAUGCUGUGACCCUGAUAAUGAGUGAUGUUGAUUGCAACGCAAGGGGUGGUAAUGCAAACUGCAACGCUAGUGGUGGAAAUGCAGACUGAUUGAGAUUAUGAGAAGUGUCGAAAUGUUUGCGAACCUAUUGUGAGUACGUUUGGUUGAUGUGAGUCUAUUAAUGUUUCUAUAUGUCAGGCGAACUGUUAGGAACACUUACAAGAUGUUUGGAACCCUUUGGCCGUAGUUUGCCUUCCGUUGUGAUAAACUCAUGUUUCUCAUGUUCACUUAUCGAAUUCUUUCACUCUUUGUGCAUAUUUCAUCGCAUUUUCAUAUAGUUUGAGUAUAGAUUUCUCUACUGGGCUAGUAUAGCUCAACCUAUUAUUUUCAGGUACACAACAGGGACACAAUCUUGGAGAGUGUGAAGUGCAUGCAGACACCACACACUAAA